rnacentral:tRNA from 1 species
GGGGCCGUAGCUCAACUGGUAGAGCGCGAGCUUUGCAAGCUCGAGGUCGGGCGUUCGAUCCGCCUCGGCUCCA